CGGCCGAAUCAGCGCCGGCGUGGUCUGGUGGCCGAAUCGUCGAAAAUGGCGGCGUGAUCUGCUUCUCUUGUAUCAUGCCGCGCACGGCAACUGGUGACUUCGGCGACCUCAGCCCAUCCCCUUGCUAGAGUCAAGACUGAACAAAAUGGUGCAUAGAGGUGGUUCUGGUCGGCGUGGUAUAAGAUUACAUCUCAGGGACAAAUCAAAAGGAGCUAUCUCCAGAUCAGACCUACGGCUGCCUCCUGCUACCAUUUUUCCCGGCCUUCCCAUAAACAGAGCUAAUAGAGCUGAGGAUUGUGGCCAGCAGCGAGCUGCUGCAGCUAGAGAACGACAGGUGGUAUCAGACUAUAGUAGCACUGUCGUGGACUCUGCACCGUGGGGAGUGGCAUGUUGUCUCGGUGUUUGGCAAUGCGUCGUGUGGUGGCUGACUGACGGCAGCGCUGUGAUGGCAUCGGUGUCAUGGUGAGCAAGGGCUGCCUCGGCACUGCUACCGGAGAAGUACACCGGCGGGCUUUGAUGUCAAGGUGUGUUGUGGCGAUUGACAUUUUAUUUCUUCUGUCACCAGCAAUAUCGCAUACAUUGGACGUGUCACUAGUCUCUAGGAUUCUGAAAUUUAUGGCACAGUUGCCUUUGGGCCUGCUAUUGCCUCCAAUUUAAGGAAAACUAUAUAUGCUAGAAACUUUGCACACAUAUACCACUGCUAUGUUAUGAAGGUUCCAACUUAUUCAAAAGCUCCACCUUUUCAUGUGCAUAUACCCCUUAGUUUUAUACAGGCAAAUGGUAUUUUAUGUCUUCAAUUUGAUCAUCACGAUUUUUAUUCCUAAUAUAUUCAUGUUUGGGUGUAUCGCCAACUUUGCCGUGUGGCCAUUUGACCUGAAUUAUGAACUUAUAUGCCAAGAUAACAAGAUUAUGAAACUAUGAUGGAUUUGACUGUAUCUAGUUAUUAUUUGUCAUAUCUGAUAUAUUUAUUUUGUACAACAAUGCUAAAUACAAUUGUUUCAUGCUUCCAGAAAUUCUGUCGCUGGUUCGCUAUUUUGGUUGUGAGUUUGUGUAUGGUACUUUGACACUCAGUCUACCUUCCUAAUAUUCAGAAUACCAUAUGCUGAUUUGUAAGAGUGCUGUGCAGCAGCCGUACAUAGGUGGCGAUGGCAUUAAGACCAGUGCAGUAUUGAUAGCAAUUUGUAUGUAUUUAUUUGUGAAUUCUUCACUUGCUUGCCGUUUUAUCCUAUUCAGAUAUUCCAUUGUCCCGUUCAUACAUCUAAUAAUACUAGCUCUGUAAUUUCUUGCUAGCUACCAGUUUUGAGUUAGAUUUAUUUCAGUUUAGGGAGGCAGAUGGUUAUAGAUGAAUGGAAAACCUACACAAUACUGACUUCUAUAGACAUUUGUUUAUCUACUCUCAUUUGAUAUUGAUUCAUCUACAUUGUUAAUGUUGUCUACAUGCUUUGCAAUUUAUUGCACACCCAUUAUGCUAUUUGGUCAUUUACCUUUCGCCAUUUUGGUAGUAGGCCAAUAGCUACAAGUCAGACACUACUUCUAAAACUUUGCUUGAUAUUUAUGUCUAGUGGGGCGGUCGGCGAGCAGCGCAUGGCUUCGGCGCAACACAAAAUGGCUGAGGAUUGGAAGAUGCAGUGCAAUGGUCGAUAUUAGAGCUCCCGUCCCCACCAAAGGCCUCAGGCACCCAAUGGCAUUGGCUCCUAUCGGUGACUCCAGCAGCAGCGCCUUUGUACUGGGCAUCAGCUCCCUGGAAAGUCCUUCCGGCACUGCUUCCCUGCGGACUAGCUGGUUAUCACAAUGUGUCGGAGAAAAUUCUAGUGAUUGUCAGAAGAUAAGAUACGGCAUGAGCUACCAUGCAAGACAUAGACAUUAUUGUAUUGGUCAGGUGUGGUCUUUCCCAGGGUAGAUAAGCUAUGGGAGUAAUCAGCACCGGAAACAAACUGUAAUUACUGGCUCUAAAAGCCCUCUUUUCAAAAGCUAGAAUUUCGUUGUACAUGAGUCGCUACGGAAUUCUUACAUUUGACAC